rnacentral:rRNA from 1 species
GAACGCUGGCGGCAGGCCUAACACAUGCAAGUCGAACGGUAACAGGAAGCAGCUUGCUGCUUCGCUGACGAGUGGCGGACGGGUGAGUAAUGUCUGGGAAACUGCCUGAUGGAGGGGGAUAACUACUGGAAACGGUAGCUAAUACCGCAUAACGUCGCAAGACCAAAGAGGGGGACCUUCGGGCCUCUUGCCAUCAGAUGUGCCCAGAUGGGAUUAGCUUGUUGGUGGGGUAACGGCUCACCAAGGCGACGAUCCCUAGCUGGUCUGAGAGGAUGACCCAGCCACACUGGAACUGAGACACGGUCCAGACUCCUACGGGAGGCAGCAGUGGGGAAUAUUGCACAAUGGGCGCAAGCCUGAUGCAGCCAUGCCGCGUGUAUGAAGAAGGCCUUCGGGUUGUAAAGUACUUUCAGCGGGGAGGAAGGUGUUGUGGUUAAUAACCGCAGCAAUUGACGUUACCCGCAGAAGAAGCACCGGCUAACUCCGUGCCAGCAGCCGC